UUUUAUUGUAAUAUUAUUGUUUUUGUCUCUGAAAAUUUCAAUCAGCUCCUGAAGAUUGUUAUUUGAUUUAAUGGAUUAGGAUCAUAAUCCACUAAAUUAAUAACUAUUAAUGGUAAUGGGAAAACCGUCAUAUAUCAGAUCCCGACUGAGCUCCCAAGAAACUUUAACAGCAGAAGGCUAUGACCCAGCUGCGCACCUGGACUCUGGUUUGCUCUUUCGUUCGCGAAGCUCAACUAACCGCCAGCCACUGUACUUGUUCUAAUGAUAGAUAGUGAUAUGAUCACCAUCAUCAUCAUACGAGGAAGAAGUCCGCUUAGGCUCUGAGCAACCAAAAAUGUCCAGUAUCCAUAUACGAAAUAUUUUCCUUCAUUUGGAUGAUUCAUCUGCCAUGGUGUGCGCUUUUGGAAAACUUGUACAGCGAAUCCUGAUUAUUGCUGACAUUUUGAUGGCAAGUGCAUUUUGGAAUUUGCCACCCGAUAUGCCGAAUAUACUGUCGAUAUGCCAAAUAUACUGUUAAUACCCGGAUUGAUUCCACUCCGACCAGCAUGACUCGGUUCCAGCCACAACUUUGCGGGGAUUUUGUUAAUAUGUAUGUUAUUUAUCGUAGAGAUCAUUAUUAUUAACUUCCAUUAUACUUAUGUUAGUUGAUGCCAACAGUUGUAAUUGUAAUUGUAUUUUUUAUUGUAACAGUUUAUGUAAAUUCAAAUAACGAUGAUGUCAUUAAUAAAAUUAAAUUGAUUUAAAA